rnacentral:lncRNA from 1 species
CCCCGUUAAUUUGAUUGAUUAAGGACUCACACUCAUAUACACACUUUCCAUUAGAGAGAGACGCUAACUAAAGGUCCCACCACCACAUUGGUUCAUAUCAUUAGGAAGAAGAACAUGAAAAACAUGAAAUAAAAAACACCACCAUCCCUCGUGCUAGAGGGAAAUAUAAACACCAACAUCACAAAAAACCAAAGCACUUACUUAAUCCUAAGCUAAACCAGUAAACCACUUCCUCAAACCUAAUCCGCCUUGUGCUAAUUUUUUAUUUGGUUUCAUUCAUUCUAACAGUGUUUUCGAGCUUUUGUCGGCGUCGAUGAUCAAGGAAAUAGUCUUUAGGGUUUUCUUCAAAAUCUCUGCGGAGCAUGCGUCCAUCUUCCCCUGGUUUUUUCAUAGUCUUCCCCUCCUCCUUUUGUUCAUUGCCAUGGUAGGCUAAAUAGGCCUUCUUGAUGCCCAUGAAUAACAUCAUACCUGCACUUGCUACGCCGACUAUCUUCGCAACCGUACUCAUUUCUGAUCAUCAAGCAACUGUCAAUGUAAUCUCUCUGUCUCUCUCUCUCAAUCUCUGUCUCUCUCUCAAUAAAAGAACCAAUGCAAACAAUGACGCUGCAUUUCUCUAUUUCAAUCUAAAUUUCAUCGAGCAUAAAUCUUCCCCACUACAAUUCAUCAACAAAAGUAACAAGCAAUCUCUCUCUCUUUGGUGGUCAC